UACGUAGGGUCCGAGCGUUGUCCGGAAUUAUUGGGCGUAAAGGGCUCGUAGGCGGUUUGUUGCGUCGGGAGUGAAAACUCAGGGCUCAACCCUGAGCGUGCUUCCGAUACGGGCAGACUAGAGGUAUGCAGGGGAGAACGGAAUUCCUGGUGUAGCGGUGGAAUGCGCAGAUAUCAGGAGGAACACCGGUGGCGAAGGCGGGUCUCUGGGCAGUAACUGACGCUGAGGAGCGAAAGCGUGGGGAGCGAACAGG
rnacentral:rRNA from 1 species